rnacentral:rRNA from 1 species
GAUGAACGCUAGCGGCAGGCUUAAUACAUGCAAGUCGAGGGGCAGCACAGGUAGCAAUACUGGGUGGCGACCGGCAAACGGGUGCGGAACACGUACACAACUUACCUUAGAGUGGGGGAUAGCCCAGGGAAACUUGGAUUAAUACCCCAUAAAACAGGGGGCCCGCAUGGGCAUAUUGUUAAAGAUUUAUCGCUUUAAGAUGGGUGUGCGUAUGAUUAGGUAGUUGGUAGGGUAAAGGCCUACCAAGCCGACGAUCAUUAACUGGUGUGAGGGCACGACCAGUCAAGCGGGAACUGGGACGCGGGCCCGACUCCUACGGCGGGCAGCAGUAAGGAAUAUUGGUCAAUGGACGGAAGUCUGAACCAGCCAUGCCGCGUGAAGGAUGAAGGUCCUCUGGAUUGUAAACUUCUUUUAUAGGGGGCGAAAAAGGGCCAUUCUUGGUCAACUGACGGUACCCUAUGAAUAAGCACCGGCUAACUCCGUGCCAGCCGCCGCCGUAAAAC